rnacentral:rRNA from 1 species
CCUGGCGGCCGUAGCGCGGUGGUCCCACCUGACCCCAUGCCGAACUCAGAAGUGAAACGCCGUAGCGCCGAUGGUAGUGUGGGGUCUCCCCAUGCGAGAGUAGGGAACUGCCAGCA